UACGAAGGGGGCUAGCGUUGCUCGGAAUCACUGGGCGUAAAGCGCAUGUAGGCGGCUUCUUAAGUCAGGGGUGAAAUCCUGGAGCUCAACUCCAGAACUGCCUUUGAUACUGGGAAGCUUCGAGUCCGGAAGAGGUGAGUGGAACUGCGAGUGUAGAGGUGAAAUUCGUAGAUAUUCGCAAGAACACCAGUGGCGAAAGGCGGCUCACUGGUCCGGUACUGACGCUGAGGUGCGAAAGCGUGGGGAGCAAACAGG
rnacentral:rRNA from 1 species